GACGAACGCUGGCGGCGUGCUUAACACAUGCAAGUCGAACGCUGAAGCUUGGUGCUUGCACUGGGUGGAUGAGUGGCGAACGGGUGAGUAAUACGUGAGUAACCUGCCCUUGACUCUGGGAUAAGCCUGGGAAACUGGGUCUAAUACUGGAUACGACAUGUCACCGCAUGGUGGUGUGUGGGAAGGGUUUUACUGGUUUUGGAUGGGCUCACGGCCUAUCAGCUUGUUGGUGGGGUAAUGGCUCACCAAGGCGACGACGGGUAGCCGGCCUGAGAGGGUGACCGGCCACACUGGGACUGAGACACGGCCCAGACUCCUACGGGAGGCAGCAGUGGGGAAUAUUGCACAAUGGGCGGAAGCCUGAUGCAGCGACGCCGCGUGAGGGAUGACGGCCUUCGGGUUGUAAACCUCUUUCAGCACGGAAGAAGCGAAAGUGACGGUACGUGCAGAAGAAGCGCCGGCUAACUACGUG
rnacentral:rRNA from 1 species